UACGUAGGGGGCAAGCGUUGUCCGGAAUCAUUGGGCGUAAAGCGUUCCGAUAGGUUGUUUUGAAAGUCUUGGGUAAAAGCCAGAAGCUUAACUUCUGCGUUUGCUUAAGAUGCUGCAAAACUAGAGGGGCAAAGAGGAGCUUGGAACGAAUGGUGUAGUAGUGAAAUGCGUUGAUAUCAUUCGGAACACCGAAAGCGAAGGCAGAGCUCUGGGUGCCACCUGACACUGCUAGGACGAAAGCGUGGGGAGCGAAUGGG
rnacentral:rRNA from 1 species